UGCAGUCGAGCGGAGUNGAAUGGAAGCUUGCUUCCAUUCUUACUUAGCGGCGGACGGGUGAGUAACACGUAGGCAACCUGCCCUCAAGACUGGGAUAACUACCGGAAACGGUAGCUAAUACCGGAUAAUUUCUUUCCUCUCCUGAAGAGAGAAUGAAAGGCGGAGCAAUCUGCCACUUGGGGAUGGGCCUGCGGCGCAUUAGCUAGUUGGUGGGGUAACGGCUCACCAAGGCGACGAUGCGUAGCCGACCUGAGAGGGUGAACGGCCACACUGGGACUGAGACACGGCCCAGACUCCUACGGGAGGCAGCAGUAGGGAAUCUUCCGCAAUGGGCGACAGCCUGACGGAGCAAUGCCGCGUGAGUGAUGAAGGUUUUCGGAUCGUAAAGCUCUGUUGCCAGGGAAGAACGUCCGGUAGAGUAACUGCUACCGGAGUGACGGUACCUGAGAAGAAAGCCCCGGCUAACUACGUGCCAGCAGCCGCGGUAAUACGUAGGGGGCAAGCGCUUGCUCCGGAAUUAUUGGGCGUAAAGCGCGCGCAGGC
rnacentral:rRNA from 1 species